rnacentral:rRNA from 1 species
GAUGAACGCUGGCGGCGUGCCUAAUACAUGCAAGUCGAGCGAACAGAUGAGGAGCUUGCUCCUCUGACGUUAGCGGCGGACGGGUGAGUAACACGUGGAUAACCUACCUAUAAGACUGGGAUAACUUCGGGAAACCGGAGCUAAUACCGGAUAAUAUAUUGAACCGCAUGGUUCAAUAGUGAAAGACGGUUUUGCUGUCACUUAUAGAUGGAUCCGCGCCGCAUUAGCUAGUUGGUAAGGUAACGGCUUACCAAGGCAACGAUGCGUAGCCGACCUGAGAGAGUGAUCGGCCACACUGGACCUGAGACACGGUCCAGACUCCUACGGGAGGCAGCAGUAGGGAAUCUUCCGCAAUGGGCGAAAGCCUGACGGAGCAACGCCGCGUGAGUGAUGAAGGUCUUCGGAUCGUAAAACUCUGUUAUUAGGGAAGAACAAAUGUGUAAGUAACUAUGCACGUCUUGACGGUACCUAAUCAGAAAGCCACGGCUAACUACGUG